rnacentral:rRNA from 1 species
AAAGGGAUACUUCUUCGGACAAUAUACAAGGUGCUGCAUGGUUGUCGUCAGCUCGUGCCGUGAGGUGUCGGGUUAAGUCCCAUAACGAGCGCAACCCUUGUCCUUAGUUACCAGCACGUUAUGGUGGGCACUCUAAGGAGACUGCCGGUGACAAACCGGGAGGAAGGUGGGGAUGACGUCAAGUCAUCAUGGCCCUUACGGCCUGGGCUACACACGUGCUACAAUGGUCGGUACAAAGGGUUGCCAAGCCGCGAGGUGGAGCUAAUCCCAUAAAACCGAUCGUAGUCCGGAUCGCAGUCUGCAACUCGACUGCGUGAAGUCGGAAUCGCUAGUAAUCGUGAAUCAGAAUGUCACGGUGAAUACGUUCCCGGGCCUU